UUGACGGGGGCCCGCACAAGCGGCGGAGCAUGCGGAUUAAUUCGAUGCAACGCGAAGAACCUUACCAAGGCUUGACAUACACCGGUAACGCCCAGAGAUGGGUGCCCCUUUGUGGUCGGUGUACAGGUGGUGCAUGGUUGUCGUCAGCUCGUGUCGUGAGAUGUUGGGUUAAGUCCCGCAACGAGCGCAACCCUCGUCCUAUGUUGCCAGCGGGUCAUGCCGGGGACUCAUGGGAGACUGCCGGGGUCAACUCGGAGGAAGGUGGGAUGACGUCAAAUCAUCAUGCCCCUUAUGUCUUGGGCUUCACGCAUGCUACAAUGGCCGGUACAAAGGGCUGCGAUACCGCGAGGUGGAGCGAAUCCCAGAAAGCCGGUCUCAGUUCGGAUUGGGGUCUGCAACUCGACCCCAUGAAGUCGGAGUCGCUAGUAAUCGCAGAUCAGCAACGCUGCGGUGAAUACGUUCCCGGGUCUU
rnacentral:rRNA from 1 species